rnacentral:lncRNA from 1 species
AGGACUUAGAAUUUUCUUAAGGUUUGAUUUAGGAUUUAAAGUUUGUCUAGGAUUUGGUUUAGAAUUUAGGAUUUGUCUAGAAUUUGAAUUAGGAUUUUGGAUUUAUCUAGGAUUUAGUUUAGGAUUUAGGAUUUGAUUAUUACUUAGGAUUUCUUUAAGGUUUGAUUUAGGAUUUAGGAUUUGUCUAGAAUUUGGUUUAGAAUUUAAAAUUUUGUUGAAAUUUAACCUAAGGUUUAGUUAAAAAUUCAUGAAGAUUUUAAUUAAAAUUAAAAUAGGAUUUGAUUAGGAUUUAUUUAAAAUUUAUCUAAGAUUUAUUUAAUAUUUUUUUAAGAUUUCUUUAUGUUUUUUUUUGUAAUUUCUUUAAGAUUUCUAUUGGAUUUUAUUAAAGCUUGAUUAGUAAUUGAUUAUUAUUAAGAUUUAAUUGAAGUUUAUUUAAGAUUCUAUUAGAGUUAUUAGGAGCUUGUUGUUGUAAUUAUCUUUCUAUCUUCUACAAUCACGUGCUUGAUGCAUUUUCAAGUAAGACUUCAUG